UGAGGAAUAUUGGGCAAUGGAGGCAACUCUGACCCAGCCAUGCCGCGUGAGUGAUGAAGGUUUUCGGAUUGUAAAGCUCUUUCGGGUGUGACGAUGAUGACGGUAGCACCUAAAGAAGCCCCGGCUAACUUCGUGCCAGCAGCCGCGGUAAUACGAAGGGGGCGAGCGUUGUUCGGAAUUACUGGGCGUAAAGGGAGUGUAGGCGGUGCAGUAAGAUAGGGGUGAAAUCCCGGGGCUCAACCUCGGAAUUGCCUUUAUUACUAUUGUGCUAGAGUGACAGAGAGGAUAGUGGAAUACCCAGUGUAGAGGUGAAAUUCGUAGAUAUUGGGUAGAACACCAGUGGCGAAGGCGACUAUCUGGCUGUCAACUGACGCUGAGGCUCGAAAGCAUGGGGAUCAAACA
rnacentral:rRNA from 1 species